rnacentral:rRNA from 1 species
GACGAACGCUGGCGGCGUGCCUAAUACAUGCAAGUAGAACGCACAGUUUAUACCUUAGCUUGCUACACCAUAGACUGUGAGUUGCGAACGGGUGAGUAACGCGUAGGUAACCUGCCUGGUAGCGGGGGAUAACGAUUGGAAACGAUAGCUAAUACCGCAUAAUAUUAAUUAUUGCACGAUAAUUUAUUGAAAGGUGCAAUUGCACCACUACCAGAUUGACCUCCGUUGUAUUAGCUAGUAGGUGAGGUAACGGCUCACCUAGGCGACGAUAGAUAGCCGACCUGAGAAGGAGAGAGGCGAAACUGGGCCGGAGACGUGAACCAGCACACUAGGGGAGGCAGCAGUAGGGAACCUUUGGGAAUGGAAGAAAGUCUGAACGAGCAACGCCGGGUGAGUGAAGAAGGUUGUCGGACCGCAAAGGUCAGUUGUAAGAGAAGAACGGGUGUGAGAGUGGAAAGUUCACAAUGUGACGGUAUCUUACCAGAAAGGGACGGCUAACUACGUG